CUCACACACACACACACACACAAUGAAAAAGUAACUGAAGACAUUGUUUAAGCCUGGCAGGGGACUUCAAUCAUCACCUUCUAAGUGUUGUCCUCGUGUAGACUUUUUCCUCAUUGGAUCGGGUUUGUUCUGUGUAACCAACAGUGUGUAACAAAAGUGAUGGUGUGCUCAAGAGAUUAGAUAUUAAAAGACUGUUCUUUCCUUCCUGGGUGUACUCUUGUUCCCUCCCUCCCUCCCCACCUCCAUCUUUCUCUCUCUCUCUCACUGCUUCCUCUGGGGGAAGUCAGCUACUACCUAGUGAAGACACUCAGGUAGCCUCCUGUCAAGUCACAGAGAUCUCUUAACAACCAUCUGAGAGAGCUUGGAAGCAGACCAUUGAACCCCAGACAAGCUUUGCGAUGAGACGGCAACCCCAGCUUCCGGCUUGGCUACAGCCUAAGACACCCUGAGCCAGAACCAUCCAGCUAAGCCCCUCGCAGAUUCCCCACCCACGAAAAUGCUGAGAUGACACGAUUUCUUUAGCUGUGUAGCUGGGCUGGAAGGCUGCGGUUGGCUGAAGGCCGACUCCUGUGAUUGACGGAAAGGAAACAGCCAUUGAAAGAGGAGGAGCAAGAAAAUUGGCACUAGUUGCCUACUUAAAGCUAAAAAUUAGAAAAAUAAAUUAAUAAGAACUUUCAAA
rnacentral:lncRNA from 1 species